AAAACGGCUCUUUUCAAAGCCACCAAUUAAUAUCAAGAGGGUUAUU
rfam:Aedes aegypti strain Liverpool supercont1.250 genomic scaffold, whole genome shotgun sequence.